rnacentral:rRNA from 1 species
UACGGAGGAAAAGAAACCAACAGGGAUUGCCUCAGUAACGGCGAGUGAAGCGGCAAAAGCUCAAAUUUGAAACCCUCGGGAUUGUAAUUUGAAGAUUUGGCAUUGGAGAAAGCUAACCCAAGUUGCUUGGAAUAGUACGUCAUAGAGGGUGACAACCCCGUCUGGCUAACCGUUCUCCAUGUAUUGCCUUAUCAAAGAGUCGAGUUGUUUGGGAAUGCAGCUCAAAGUGGGUGGUAAACUCCAUCUAAAGCUAAAUACUGGUGAGAGACCGAUAGCGAACAAGUACUGUGAAGGAAAGGUGAAAAGAACUUUGAAAAGAGAGUGAAAUAGUAUGUGAAAUUGUUGAUAGGGAAGGAAAUGAGUGGAGAGUGGCCGAGGUUUCAGCCGCCCCUCGUGGGCGGUGUACUGCCGACGCCGAGUCAUCGAUAGCGAGACGAGGGUUACAAAUGGGAGCGCCUUUCGGGCGUUCUCCCCUAACCCUCCACACUGCCACCGACGACAUAAUCCACCCAUUUCACCCGUCUUGAACCACGGACCA